GAAGAUGGAAAAUGAGAAAGAGGGCUUAGGAGCUAUGGGGUAUAAAAUAAAAAGGCCUGUCAUUUGUUGAACUGAUAUCCCAGAAGGUCAUUAUGGAAAGAGCAAUACAUGGAAAAGCAAUACAUGAAGAGGUAAAGGAAGACUCUUCCAGAACCAAUGAAAUAUAUGAACCUGCAGAUACAGGAUGCCCAAUAUAAUAUGAAGCAAGAUAAAUAGAAAAAAAUCCACCCAGAUGCUUAUAAGGAAACUGAAGAAUACUAAGGACAGAGAGUGGUAAAAGCAGCCAGGAAUUAGCAUUUGUUAAAUUUAGUUAAAAUUCUUGUGAUCUUAAAAUUGAAUUGGAAAUAUUGAUAUGAACUUGUGUCUUACUUUUCUUUUUAAACAAUGUGUAUUUUCCAGCUCUCUCCUCUGAAGAAAUGACAACCCAAUAGCAAUAGCACCGUGAGGGACCAAAUUGUUCUCUGUAAACACCAUUUCCCACUAACAGAGAUCAGGCCUCUCUGAAGAAAUAGCUGAUCCCAGUUCUAGGGCAGGAAAUCUACAAGAUGAACCAGGGAGCUCUCACCAAGUCAUAAAGUAAGGAAGUUGCCAACAGCUACUAGGGGAAAAGGACACAGGAGCCAACUUGAAGGGACAUUGGCUAAAGAGGGACUAAUUUCAGCAUCAAUAAUAAUAAUAAUAAUGACAUUUUAUUGAAGCACAUGUAAUAUAUAAACUUCCAUAAUUUGAUAAUGACACACGCACACACCCAUCAGGCACCUUGAUAGGACAUUAACUGCCUCUCAGUCGAGGAGUUGAAGAAAGGUCCUUAAUAGAUAAAUUCCAGCUAAUAAAUGGAGAAGGAAUGAUAUCUUUGGGAAGUCACAAUUUUGUGCCUCUUAAUUCGGUAAUGGAUGAAUUUAAUAUCAAAGUUUAAUAGCCAAACACAGUGUGCCACCUGGCAUGAUGCAAUAAGAGAUACACAGUGCCACCUAUCACAGGGUUUUGCCAAAAUAAUUUAACCUGAAUCUAAUCAAGGCUGUAGCUAUAACUCAAUUUAUGGGAAAUACAGGAGCUAGAGGAACAAAUGAGAUGACACCAUGAGGAAGCAAUCAGCUUAAAUCCUGAUUGUGGAAUAUUCUGUAAGACAAAUGGCCUGUUUUUAUAAAAAAUAAGUGGCAUAAAAAAGGAGGUGGAGUGAGGCUUAACGGAUGGAGAGAGACUUAAUAGCCAUAUCAGCCAAAUGCAGAGACAGCACUUUGUGUGCUGAGUCAAACCAACCAACUAUAAAAAGACGUUUCUGGAACAAUCAGGGAAAUUUGAACAUGCAUGAGGAAUUCAAAGAUAUUAAGCAAUUAACAAAAAUAAAGCAAAAAAUCCUUACCUAUCAAAGACAAUCUGGUCCAUAUAUAUCUGGAAUUUGCUUUAAAUGCUCCAGCAGAAACAAAACAAUACCCAGGCAAGGGUAGGCAGAAGAGAGGAAACAGUAAUAACAAAAUGUUAACUGUUAAACCCAGGUGUUAGGAAUGUGGAAGUUCAUUAAAAUCUUCUCUUUAUUUUGAGAUACAUUUGAAAUUUUCCUUGAUAAAAGAUUUUUAAAAGGCAAUCAGAAAGAAAAGUCCUGUCACCUACAAAGAAACAAAGUGACAAAGACCUCUCAACAGCAAGAGUGGAAAACAAGACAGAAUAAUAUACUCAAAGGAUUAAGGGGAAAAAACUGUCAUGCUAAUGUUACAUAUUCAGCAAAACUAUCUUUGAAGAAUGAGGUGAAUUAGGGACAUAUCUAGAUAAAUAAAAACUGAGUUUAGCACCAAUAAAUCCAUACUGAAGAAUGGCUAAAGAAUGUUCUUUCUUUCAGGUAAAAGGAAAAUGAUCCUAGAAGGAAGGUCUGAGAUUCAAGAAGGAAUGGUGAGCAAAGAAAAUGGUUAACAUCUCCAGAAUUGUAUACUAACUGCCCAGUGCACAUCUGCCAGAGGAUGUCCCUCAGGACCUCACAUUCCAUGGCUUCAAACCUCGCUCGCUCACCGUGACUACCAACACACUGCUCCUCUCCUGUAUUCCUGAGUUUUGGAUGUCAUGCUUGAGAGAAACGUGGAAGUCGGCUCACUCUCCCUUACUCCUGCUCCCCACACUCAGUAGCUUGUCAGAACCUUCCCAUCUUGUUUUACUCCCCGCUCCCCACACGGAGCAGAGGUAGGCUGGAGGCGCCCUCUGCUGGUGGCUUUAGGAACUACAAUUCCUUAGAGCUGCUGGGCUCCCAAGCGUCGAGAGCCACAACAGGGCUUUUUUCCCUCGGGUCUCCACCGAGUAAGAUUGCUUUGCCCCAGCCAGCAAGGCGGCCCCCAGGGCAGUCUACGAGCAGUGAGAAAACCGGCCAUCCCCUCCUCCCCCAGGCCCUAGCCGUAUUCACUGGCCCCACAGCUCUGUGAUGCACACCGCCCCUCCGCUCCUUCCCCUCGUUGGUCCUCCUCUCCUAGCUCACAGCCCGGGAUGGGUGGUAGCACAGCGGAUGCGGGGUCGGGGUGCCUCCCGGAGGCAAGAGCCUCCGUGCAUCUCCCUUGGGCUCAGCCAGUCUGUGCCAAGAGAAGGCUGAACAUGCAGCCUGCUGGACCAGACUCAGCUCGAAUGGACCUCAUCUUGCCUUAAUGUGUAGUAACAGGUGACCCCUUCUGAUGCAGUCUUGAGGAUCUACGGCUUCAUAGGUGCCUCUACCCUAGUAUGGAGGGUGGGGUCUGGGGAGGCGGGAGGGGAAGCCCUGCGCCAGGUCCCACCUCUUGGUGCCCUAAGAGCAGGCUGGAUUUCAUUCUCCAGUAGCAUCUAAUUAAGGUGUCCUGGGCUCACAGCUCUACUGCCCCUGAGAUGUUCCUUAGUCUAAUGGAGUAACAGACAAACAGAAGAUAGUGGGGGCCGGUAAACUGGUUUUAGUGUCAUUCAGAAGGUGGAAUCAGCUGGACUUGGUGGUUGAUUAAACUCAUUAAAUUAACAUUAACUGAAUGCUUCUGAGUGCUGGGCACUGUGUGGAGUCUGAGGAAGACAGGGAAGUAGCUUCCAAAAUCCUAGCAUGAGAAACUGAAAUGGGGACUGGGAAGAACAGACUAGAGAGGCUAGGGAAGGGAGAUGACAGGCCCUGUGUGGACAAGCUGAGCAUGUGGUGCACUGAGACAUCCAAGUGAAAGGCCCAGCAGAUGGCUGACAUGCAGGCUGGGGAUGGGGUGCAGCAUCAGGGAGCUGCUGGGACCUGGUGGGAGGAGCCCUGAGCAGACAGACAUAACCAAAGCGGUAGGGUGAGAGGUUUCUGGAGAGGGGGUGUAGAGUGAGGACAGAAGAGCAUCUACAGCCCCAAGAUCACUGGCUGUGAAGAGCCUGCGAAAGAGGCCACAGAGGAUUAGGCAGACAGGGAGAAAGUGUGUGGACAGGGAAAUUCAGGCAGAGGGCGUCAGGAGGGAGGGAGCAGGCAAGAAGAGGAAGGCCUAGGGUAGUCAAGGGCCUGAGAAGACCUACUGGACUUGGCCACAGGAAACUGGGGCACAGUAUUUCUGAAAUGAUGCAGGCUGAAGGUGGACUACAGCAGACCCAGAGUUUGAGAGUGAGGAAGGGGAAGCAAUGAAUGUAGGCAUUCUUGGGGAAAGAGGGUGUUGUUUGUUUUAAUGAGAGAUCUGAGCGCAUCUGGGAAGGAAUCAGGUAGGGGAAGUUGAAAAUAAAGGACAAGAGGGGGUGAUAGAGUACCUAUUAUGACAUGUGACCCAAACCAUUUGGCUAAAACUAAUCUACUUUGUCAUGAGAUGGAUUAUUUAAAUGUCCAAAAAGGGGUUGAUUAGGUCAAAUAAAUGUCUAACAAUAUAGGAUUUACUGCAAAAUAAUUGUCCAGUGAGAACUAAUUGGAACAAAACCUCUAACAAUAAAAUUUUAAAUGUUUA